GCAUCCUGUCGCCACGAUGCAGAGUCUGCACAAGUUCCUGCUGUUUAAUGUCCUGGCUUGUCUCGGACGAAACCUAUCUGGGAGUGGAAUUAUAGGUGGAGGAAAAGCCCCGGCGGACUCGAUGCUGUAUAUGGCCUCGAUACAGAGCAACAAUAAACAUGUGUGUGGAGGAUUCCGCAUCAGUAAAGACAUUGUGGUCACCGCUGCACGCUGUGAUGAAUUUCUCAGGAAUCUGGAAAAAGCAAAAGUUAUUCUGAGCACCCACAGACCUCGUAGCGCUAUAAAAACAGUGAAAUACAUCAAGAAGAAGUGCAAACACCCCUCUUAUGAGAAUUUUUAAAAGGAAA